rnacentral:rRNA from 1 species
UACGUAGGGUGCAAGCGUUGUCCGGAAUUAUUGGGCGUAAAGAGCUCGUAGGCGGUUCGUCGCGUCGGCUGUGAAAAACCCGGAGCUCAACUCCGGGCCUGCAGUCGAUACGGGCGGACUUGAGUUCGGCAGGGGAGACUGGAAUUCCUGGUGUAGCGGUGAAAUGCGCAGAUAUCAGGAGGAACACCGGUGGCGAAGGCGGGUCUCUGGGCCGAUACUGACGCUGAGGAGCGAAAGCGUGGGGGAGCGAACAGG